rnacentral:rRNA from 1 species
GACAGAGGGUGCUAGCGUUGUUCGGAAUUACUGGGCGUAAAGGGCGCGUAGGCGGCUCGUUUAGUCGGGUGUGAAAUCCCGGGGCUCAACCCCGGAACUGCAUUCGAUACUGGCGGGCUAGAGACCGGAAGAGGUGGGUGGAAUACCCAGUGUAGAGGUGAAAAUUCGUAGAUAUUGGGUGGAACACCGGUGGCGAAGGCGGCUCACUGGUCCGGUUCUGACGCUGAGGCGCGAAAAGCGUGGGGGAGCAAAACAGG